AUAUGAAGAUAUGUACAUACGUAUAAAAAUAUAAAUAAAAAUGAUGACCGAAGAAUAUAAUGAAAAGGAUGUCACAAGUGUUAAUAAUGAAAAAACGCUAACUACAAAAUCGGAAUCUGAGAAAUUAGUUGAAGAUCAGUGGUUGUCAAGUCCAAACCGGGCAGAGGCAAACCAGGCAGAGACAAACCAGGCGGAGGAAAACCAAACUGAGGAAAACCAAACUGAGGAAAACCAAACCGAGACAACUUCAAACAAUCUCAACUCCAACUAUGAAGACGUUCAAAAACACUUCGAGAUGUUAAACGAUACGGUUGAAAACAUGAACAUGCAUUUUAAUAAGAUUUUAGAAGAUAAUGAAGAGAAGUAUAUAUUAGCGUUUAAUACAUAUAUGUAUGAUGUACAGAAAGAAAUAAGAUUACUAAAAAAAGCAGUGAAAGAGCAAAAAAUUAAACAGUUGAAAGAUGAAAGGGUGAUGAGCUUACAAAAGGAACUAAAGUGGUAUAUAAACGAAUGUUUACGACUAGAUGAUGUUUCUCAGUUUUUUAAAAAAGAAGCUGAGAAGUGGAAACGAAAUAGCGAACUUAUGAAAGAUCAUAUGUUAUUUUUAGAAGCAAAACUUUCAAAGUUAUAUGAUAAAAAAAUUAAAGAAGAAAGCAUAAAAAAUAAGGGAAUAAAAAAAGAAGCUGAACAUUAUACCGAAACACCAGAAUGUGAAGAAAGUAAAAAUAUGAACGAAAAGGAAGAAGAAGAAGAAGAAGAAGAAAAAAAAAUACAAACAAACAAACAAACAAAACUAAAAAAAGUCACAAAUGAAGAAAAUAGAAAAAAUAAAAAAAACGACUCUUGCACCAAAGACAGUGCAAGCAAAAAAAAAAAAGACGUUACAGAAAGAGAUACAGAUUUAAACCAUUUAAUAAAACAAAAAGAAAAAACAAAUAAUAUGAUAUGUAAAGAGUUAGGUUAUAAGAUAAAGAUUUUAGAAAAAAAAUUAAAAAAACAAAUAAGUAUUAAUGAUGACUUACAAGAAAAACUAACUCAACGUUAUAUUGAGAAGUCCCAGUAUGAAAAGUUAUUUAUCGAUUGUAUUCAUGAAAUUAAAAAAGAUUUGGAAAAAGAAGCUAAAAAUAAUGAUAAAGAAACAUAUAUAGAAAAUAACUUUUCACAGUUAAUAAAUAAAGAAGAGUUAAGUUAUUUUACAAAAGAAGAAAAAAAAAAAUACUUAUUUCAUUUUUUUCUUCCAGUGCAAUAAUACAACUUCUGAAAAGACAUAUAUUUAGUAAAGAAAAAAUAACUUUUGAUUUUUAUCAAAGAAAUAAUUAUAGUAAUACGAUUUUACCGAAAAAAAAUAUGUCCGACAUUUCGCCCUUUAUUUUGUAAAUUUAAUCACCAAAAAAAAUAAUUAAAUA
rnacentral:lncRNA from 1 species